rnacentral:rRNA from 1 species
UACAGAGGUCCCGAGCGUUGUUCGGAUUCACUGGGCGUAAAGGGUGCGUAGGCGGUUUUUUAAGUCAGUGCUGAAAUACUCCAGCUUAACUGGAGGGGUGGCAUUGAUACUGGAAGACUUGAGUACAGAUGAGGUAGGCGGAAUUGACGGUGUAGCGGUGAAAUGCAUAGAUAUCGUCAAGAACACCGAUAGCGAAGGCAGCUUACUGGGCUGUAAACUGACGCUGAUGCACGAAAGUGUGGGGAUCAAACAGG